GUCGGGCUGCCACUGCACUGUUGCCGGUUUCAGGGAAAAAUCGUCAAGAGCGCAGCUGGAAAAGGAGCACUACCAGCGCGAACGUGACCGCUACUACCGCGAAAAGCAGCAGCUGCAGCUGCCGCAGCCCUACAAGCAAGUCAACUAUGCGGAGCAGCCGUUUGGCGGCGAAAGAGUGUUUGUGGAGCGGAAGAUCGAAGAGGUGCGAGUGCGGCAUGAGCGCAAGCACAAGGAGGACAAAUCCAAAGAGGGGAGCCGAAGCCACAGCAAAGAGGGCCUGGAGAGGCACAAGCGCGAGCGCCCCGAUGAGGAGAAGCGAGCGAGUAAAACGCUGGCUGACUUGAGGGAGCGACUUACAACCGAAUUGAGGUUUGUAUUGAAUUACGAAAAUGAAAAUACAUUUUUGUGACAUGAUUUGUGUGAUUGCGCCUGCGCAAUAAUUUGCAAACACCCUGUAGAUUUUUCAAGUUUUUUUCGU